rnacentral:rRNA from 1 species
AUUGAACGCUGGCGGCAGGCCUAACACAUGCAAGUCGAGCGGAUGAAGGGAGCUUGCUCCUGGAUUCAGCGGCGGACGGGUGAGUAAUGCCUAGGAAUCUGCCUGGUAGUGGGGGAUAACGUCCGGAAACGGGCGCUAAUACCGCAUACGUCCUGAGGGAGAAAGUGGGGGAUCUUCGGACCUCACGCUAUCAGAUGAGCCUAGGUCGGAUUAGCUAGUUGGUGGGGUAAAGGCCUACCAAGGCGACGAUCCGUAACUGGUCUGAGAGGAUGAUCAGUCACACUGGAACUGAGACACGGUCCAGACUCCUAAGGGAGGCAGCAGUGGGGAAUAUUGGACAAUGGGCGAAAGCCUGAUCCAGACAUGCCGCGUGUGUGAAGAAGGUCUUCGGAUUGUAAAGCACUUUAAGUUGGGAGGAAGGGCAGUAAGUUAAUACCUUGCUGUUUUGACGUUACCAACAGAAUAAGCACCGGCUAACUUCGUG